GACGAACGCUGGCGGCGUGCCUAAUACAUGCAAGUAGGACGCACAGUUUAUACCGUAGCUUGCUACACCAUAGACUGUGAGUUGCGAACGGGUGAGUAACGCGUAGGUAACCUACCUAUUAGAGGGGGAUAACUAUUGGAAACGAUAGCUAAUACCGCAUAACAGUAUGUAACACAUGUUAGAUGCUUGAAAGAUGCAAUUGCAUCGCUAGUAGAUGGACCUGCGUUGUAUUAGCUAGUAGGUAGGGUAAUGGCCUACCUAGGCAACGAUACAUAGCCGACCUGAGAGGGUGAUCGGCCACACUGGGACUGAGACACGGCCCAGACUCCUACGGGAGGCAGCAGUAGGGAAUCUUCGGCAAUGGGGGGAACCCUGACCGAGCAACGCCGCGUGAGUGAAGAAGGUUUUCGGAUCGUAAAGCUCUGUUGUUAAGGAAGAACGAGUGUGAGAAUGGAAAGUUCAUGCUGUGACGGUACUUAACCAGAAAGGGACGGCUAACUACGUGCCAGCAGCCGCGGUAAUACGUAGGUCCCGAGCGUUGUCCGGAUUUAUUGGGCGUAAAGCGAGCGCAGGCGGUUAGAAAAGUCUGAAGUGAAAGGCAGUGGCUCAACCAUUGUAGGCUUUGGAAACUGUUUAACUUGAGUGCAGAAGGGGAGAGUGGAAUUCCAUGUGUAGCGGUGAAAUGCGUAGAUAUAUGGAGGAACACCGGUGGCGAAAGCGGCUCUCUGGUCUGUAACUGACGCUGAGGCUCGAAAGCGUGGGGAGCGAACA
rnacentral:rRNA from 1 species